rnacentral:rRNA from 1 species
AUUGAACGCUGGCGGCAUGCCUUACACAUGCAAGUCGAACGGCAGCACGGGUGCUUGCACCUGGUGGCGAGUGGCGAACGGGUGAGUAAUACAUCGGAACGUACCUUAUCGUGGGGGAUAACGCAGCGAAAGCUGUGCUAAUACCGCAUACGCCCUGAGGGGGAAGCGGGGGAUCGCAAGACCUCGCGCGACUAGAGCGGCCGAUGCCUGAUUAGCUUGUUGGUGGGGUAAAAGCCCACCAAGGCGACGAUCAGUAGCUGGUCUGAGAGGACGAUCAGCCACAAGGGGACUGAGACACGGCCCAGACUCCUACGGGAGGCAGCAGUGGGGAAUUGUGGACAAUGGGGGCAACCCUGAUCCAGCAAUGCCGCGUGAGUGAAGAAGGCCUUCGGGUUGUAAAGCUCUUUUGUCAGGGAAGAAACACCGGCUCUAACACAGUCCGGGAAUGACGGUACCUGAAGAAUAAGCACCGGCUAACUACGUGCCAGCCGCCGCCGUAA